AGCUAAACUCUAGCCCAACCACCUCAUCAACUACUAACCAUAACCUACCUUCACUCAUAAACUAAAACAUUCUCCUAACUUAGUAUAGGUGAUAGAAAAGUCUCCUCCGGCGCGUUAGAGAACUGUACCGUAAGGGAAAGAUGAAAUAAUAAUGAAAACCUAAGCGACACAUAGCAAAGAUAAAUCCUUGUACCUCUCGCAUCAUGAUUUAGUAAGAACAACCAAGCAAAACGAGUUGAAGCUUGCCAUCCCGAAACCCAAGCGAGCUACUUGUAGGCAGCUACACCUGAGCGAACCCGUCUCUGUUGCAAAAGAGUGGGAUGACCUACUAGUAGAGGUGAAAAGCCAAUCGAGCUGGGUGAUAGCUGGUUGCCUGUGAAAAGAAUCUAAGUUCAUCCUUAAUCCUCCUCUAAGGACCUCAAACCGAGCCCCCACGUAACGGAUUAAGAGUAAUUCAAAGGGGGUACAGCUCCUUCGAAAAAGGAUACAACCUCCUGUAGCGGAUAAUAUACUUUCCCCCCCCCCUCCCCCGUAGGCCCUUAAGCAGCCACCAACAAAGAGUGCGUCAAAGCUCUUUCCUCAAAAAUAUAGAAACAACAUGACUCCCUCCACACCAACAGGCCAACCUAUCACAAUAGGUGAAUUAAUGCUAAAAUGAGUAACUAGGACUACUUCCUCUAAAGCGCAAACUUACAUCAUUAUAUUAUUAACAGUACUCAAUUAAUACCACAACUCCAACAAGCCUCCAUAUUAAAACUACUCUGUUAACCCGACCCAGGAGCGCCCACUAGAAAGACUAAAAUCUGUAAAAGGAACUAGGCAAAUCCAAGACCCGACUGUUUACCAAAAACAUAGCCUCCAGCAAACCCAGUAUUGAAGGUGAUGCCUGCCCAGUGACCACCUGGUUCAACGGCCGCGGUAUCCUAACCGUGCGAAGGUAGCGCAAUCAAUUGUCCCAUAAAUCGGGACUUGUAUGAAUGGCUAAACGAGGCCUUAACUGUCUCUUACAGAUAAUCAGUGAAAUUGAUCCCCCUGUGCAAAAGCAGGGAUAAACACAUAAGACGAGAAGACCCUGUGGAACUUAAAAAACAGAAGCCACCAUAUACACAUACCCACCUAUUAGGUUUACAACUCCAUAGUACGGACACUGGCUUACAUUUUUUCGGUUGGGGCGACCUUGGAGAAAAGAAAACCCUCCAAAAAUAAGAUCUCCCUUCUUAACUAAGAACAACCCCUCAAAGUGCUAAUAGUAACCAGACCCAAUAAAAAUUGAUCAAUGGACCAAGCUACCCCAGGGAUAACAGCGCAAUCUCUCCUAAGAGCCCCUAUCGACGGAGAGGUUUACGACCUCGAUGUUGGAUCAGGACAUCCUAAUGGUGCAGCCGCUAUUAAGGGUUCGUUUGUUCAACGAUUAACAGUCCUACGUGAUCUGAGUUCAGACCGGAGCAAUCCAGGUCGGUUUCUAUCUAUGUAACACUUUCCCUAGUACGAAAGGAUCGGGGAAGUAAGGCCAAUACCACAAGCACGCCUUCUCCCUAAAUAAUGACCCCCACUAAAUUAUGAAAGGAAUUCCUAUAUCACCCCCAGCCCUAGAUAAGGGCC
rnacentral:rRNA from 1 species